UGACGGUGAUGUAAGGGAAUGCAACCAAUGACAUUACAGUAUCAUUCGCGCAAACACAAUUUAAAUUGUCGGCAUUGUGUACGGAAGUCAUUUUUUGUGAAUUGCGACUUGGUGAAACUGACUAUUGUUUGUGAUGGCGUGUAAAAGAAACCUGAGUUUUACUACUCCCGUGAGUAAUAGGGCUUUGCAACCAGCAGCAAGCCCACUGAGCAUAAAUGAUUUAAUGAAACAGCUGAUCUCCGGUCAGAACGCUUUGUCUCGUCAGCUUGAGGGUUUGAUGGAGAAGCAAGCUGCAAACACUGUUCUUCUCAAAGAUGCUAUCCAGCGUCUUUUUGCUCUUGAGCGAAAGUUUGACGAGCAAAGACCGCAAGAGGAACAAAGACCGCGGGAAGAGCCAUUACAUAAAAGGAUAAAGAGGGCGCACAACGUGGGCAUUGCGAAUAAGUUCGCCUCGUAACCAAGCAGUCAUGACUUAUCUGCUAGAGGAAUUGAAAACAACUUUUGCAGAUGCAGACCUUGAGUGUAUACAAGCGUGUUGCAAGACAUACUUUGAAACACUUCAGAGAAAGUACAAUUUGUCUCAGCCAGAAAAGUCCCAGCUAAGAGAUGCCAUUAAAACAGGAGCUAAAAACCGACAAAGGAAAAGACGGUUGCUGGAUUCCAGGUCCAAGGUUGUUCAAACCGAUGCAGAGAGAGAGAGCUUUGGCAGACUGCAACAGUGGAGCUGAUGUCUGACGAGGAGGAUGCCAUUGUUGAUGGAAGGCCAGUGUGGAUUGUGAGGUCUCCAUCUCACAAGAACCCACAAUUGUCAGAACUUUGUGAGGAGCUUCAGCGCAGAUUGGAGGCAGACAUGCGCUACACUAUUUUGCAUCAUCAGCGUGUUAAGGCUGAUGGAAAUGGACAUGAUGGACCUUCCUUUCUUCAACUUUAACUAAACUGCACUGGUUUUGCAAUUUUAAUAAUUGCACCACAAACUGCACAUUUUCACUUAUUCUCUUCUAUUUUAUCUUAUUCUUUGUAUACUUAUUAGGUUAGAAUUAUUUAGUUUCAUAUUCUGCAACUUAUUUUUUAAUAUUGUUUGUGUUUGC